GGUGUCAAUCAAUGCCGCGUGUCAAUGGACGUCCCCGGCUUGCAAGCAUUCCCUUUCAAGGCGUGUCCGUGAACGACCGCGAGGCGUGACUUCCAGUACUCGUUCGCGGCCUCGAGAUUCGUAAAUCCGCCUUGUUAGGAAGAAACGGAAACCUGUCAGUCCGCAGUAGUCCGCGUCCCUCUUUAUCAACGGAGCCAUAUCUCGCGUGCGAACUUCAGCGGGAUCGCGAAGUGCCUGUUAAUUGUGGAAAAACGUCGUGUCGCGGUGAUUCCGCGGCCGCGGUCCACGUUCCUGCGGAUUCACAAAGUAAUUCUCUCAACUUGGUGACUUUCUACCGUUCCGAAAUCCUCUUGUGAAAUUCGAAAACCUGACUCCUGUCGAAGCAUAGGUUAUGUGCUCAUGGACGCGAUGACACCUGUUCGGCGCUCACGGCCCGCCGAGCGGAACGCGACAUAACCUCUUUGUCUCCCGGGCGUUGGCGAUGAUAUCAACGAGUUAUGGGCAAAGGGGAAGAGAGCAACAGAAUGGCGGCAAACGAGUCUUCCUUCUUGACGAGUCCUUCGAUGGAAGCGAGCAAGAUGCUCGAGGCUGCGUUACUACAAAUGGAUGGUAUCAUAUCUGGCACGACCGGGAAAGGAAUUUGCAACGAAAGUGGGAUCGAUUCUAACUUGGAACUUAAAGACCCGGUGAAAGAUGCGACUAAAAAUCUUGUACUGGCCAUUAAAAGCGUCCCGCAACCCCCGUUACCACCUGACGCUGGCACGACUGAAAUUUUAUUACAAUGGAUGCAGCCGGCGCGGCUCAGGAAAUUGGAGAACGAACGAACGGCACUUCACAUGGAGGUUUCCGUGCUCUCGGAGCAGGUCGAGGCGCAGUCCUGCAAAAUCACCGAGCUAGAGAGUAUGCUCCAGGAAAAGAAGGACUCCCUGAGGCGAAUGGAGGAGGCACUCCAGAAAGAAGUGCUGUCGAGGAGUGCCCUGGAAACGCAGAAGUUGGAGCUGCUCAGUUCCCUCUCGGAGAUGAAGCUCAAGCAAGCCAGCCUGGAGCGGGAGAACCUCGCCCUGGGGAAUGGCGGUGGCAGUCCUCUGUCAAACGGCGACAGAUUCGGCAGACACACCGGCCAGUACAGCAGUCUACCUAGGCCGAGGACCACCUCGAGGAAGGAAGUAGCCUUCGCGCAAGAGGAGGAAGAGGAGGAGGUGGAGAAACCCAUGUCUUCGUCGACGCCCCUGGGACCUUCGGGGAGAUUUUACGAGACAUCCGCUCCGGUCGCUACCAUGAAACCUCUGGCGACCCUCUCCAUCGAGGAGGUGGGGAAUUGGCUGGCUAGACUCGGCUUGGAGUGCUACUUCGCCGAGGUGAAACGAUGGGGAGGCUCCGGGUCGAAGCUCUUGGACAGUUCCCCCAGUCAGCUGGAGAAGGAGCUCGACAUCAAGAACACCCUGCACCGGAAGAAACUGCAGUACGCGGUUGAGUCUGAAAAGUGCAACGGCGAGGGCUUCCUCGGCUCCGAUAAGAUGGACGGCCCAGCGGUGCUGCGGUGGCUGGAUGACAUCGGCCUACCCCAGCAUAAAGAGGCCUUCCAUAAUGCGAAGAUUGACGGCAGGGUACUGCAUAGAUUGACGACGGAAGACCUUCUGCACCUAGGGGUGCACGCCCAGCUACACGCCGCCAGUCUGCGACGAGGAAUUCAAGUACUGCGGGAGCUCAAUUUUGAGUACGACGCUCUGGAGAGAAGGCCCUUGAAUGGAGACGGAGCGGACAGCAGCAACGUGGCCCUCUGGACGAACCAUCGGGCCAUGGAGUGGCUCAGGGUGGUCGACCUGGCCGAGUACGCCCCCAAUUUGCGGGGGUCUGGAGUCCAUGGUGGUCUGAUGGUCUACGAGGGUCGUUUCACCUCGGAACUCCUCGCCACCCUGCUCAGCAUACCUCCCGCUAAAACCCUGCUGAGAAGACACUUGACUACUCACUUCAAUCAGAUUCUGGGCAGGGAAGUGGUGCAGCACAAGAGGGAGAUCGAGAGCACCCUUGGCUUCGUGCCCCUAACCUUGACGGCCAGGCUGAAGGUACCAAAGAAAUCCCAGUUCACGUUGAAGAGAAAGAAGAGCAAGAGCGAGGUCGAUUACGGUAAUCUGGUCUGUCCCCUGGAGGCAUCUCCACCAGGUACUCCACCAACGUCCUCGACUAUUCCGAGCAGCCCUGUCCUCGACUCACCCACGCACUAACGGUCGCAGCGCAGGCUUCUUAUCGAACGGUCGUCUAAUAACACUAACUCAUGUCGACGACGUGGCCCACGCGAAAUUGACCGGCUGCAUCGGCUGAAGGAGGGCCACUUCUGCUGGUGUUUCCACGUGCCAAGGUACGGUUCCGGAUAGAAGAAAAUUCUACCUGGAAGAGGAGGGAGACUAUAUCACGAGAACGGAACCUCUCAACCAUAGACAAUACGGAACAACGACUGUUUAUACCGAAAUAAGCGGAUUAGAGUACGGAGAUUGCGAAUGUUGGAGAAGCUACUGUAAGGAGCUGGAAUUAUUCUAGACAGGCCUGGAGGAAUUGUUAAGGAUCGACGUAGUUAAGGGACGCCGACUCGAGGCGGAAUUAGCGUAGUUAGAGAAGACUGCCGAGGAAGAGGGAGAAAUAGGACUUAACAUUUAGAGGUGACACGUAGUUAGGACUAACUACGGUAUUAAGGACGAUUUGUUGCGAGUCCGGAUAAUCAUGGCGAGGAUGGAAUUGCGCGGCGGUGGAGUCGUGGACCAACGUGCACCUGCGAUAAGGACGGGGAUUUCUUAUCGGACGACGAAGAGAGAGGUGGCACCUGUACUCCCGAUCGUAGGACCGCCGAUACCACGGAGUCUAGGAUAUAGGUACCCUAUUUGGAAGUAAGCCAUUGCUAUUCCUUCUAAUUUACACUUGCGAGUUACGGUAGGGUCGAGGAUCUUCUGCUUCCUUUUGGCAUUUUUGAUAAAACAUGUAGAUCGAGCCGAGGCGAAAUAAAGCAACGACGAAACUAUCGUA